GGGCGGCGCAGGCUACACAUGCAAGUCGAGCGGAUGAAGGGAGCUUGCUCCUGGAUUCAGCGGCGGACGGGUGAGUAAUGCCUAGGAAUCUGCCUGGUAGUGGGGGAUAACGUCCGGAAACGGGCGCUAAUACCGCAUACGUCCUGAGGGAGAAAGUGGGGGAUCUUCGGACCUCACGCUAUCAGAUGAGCCUAGGUCGGAUUAGCUAGUUGGUGGGGUAAAGGCCUACCAAGGCGACGAUCCGUAACUGGUCUGAGAGGAUGAUCAGUCACACUGGAACUGAGACACGGUCCAGACUCCUACGGGAGGCAGCAGUGGGGAAUAUUGGACAAUGGGCGAAAGCCUGAUCCAGCCAUGCCGCGUGUGUGAAGAAGGUCUUCGGAUUGUAAAGCACUUUAAGUUGGGAGGAAGGGCAGUAAGUUAAUACCUUGCUGUUUUGACGUUACCAACAGAAUAAGCACCGGCUAACUUCGUGCCAGCAGCCGCGGUAAUACGAAGGGUGCAAGCGUUAAUCGGAAUUACUGGGCGUAAAGCGCGCGUAGGUGGUUCAGCAAGUUGGAUGUGAAAUCCCCGGGCUCAACCUGGGAACUGCAUCCAAAACUACUGAGCUAGAGUACGGUAGAGGGUGGUGGAAUUUCCUGUGUAGCGGUGAAAUGCGUAGAUAUAGGAAGGAACACCAGUGGCGAAGGCGACCACCUGGACUGAUACUGACACUGAGGUGCGAAAGCGUGGGGAGCAAACAGGAUUAGAUACCCUGGUAGUCCACGCCGUAAACGAUGUCGACUAGCCGUUGGGAUCCUUGAGAUCUUAGUGGCGCAGCUAACGCGAUAAGUCGACCGCCUGGGGAGUACGGCCGCAAGGUUAAAACUCAAAUGAAUUGACGGGGGCCCGCACAAGCGGUGGAGCAUGUGGUUUAAUUCGAAGGGACGCGAAGACCUUACCUGGCCUUGACUGCUGAAACUUUCCAAAGAUGGAUUGGUGCUUCGGAACUCAAACCAGGUGCUGCUGGCUGCCUCACUCGGGCGGGAAAUGUGG
rnacentral:rRNA from 1 species